AUUGAACGCUGGCGGCAGGCCUAACACAUGCAAGUCGAGCGGAGCGGCGGACGGGUGAGUAAUGCCUAGGAAUCUGCCUGGUAGAGGGGGAUAACGUCCGGAAACGGGGGCUAAUACCGCAUACUAUCAGAUGAGCCUAGGGAGGAUUGGCUAGUUGGUGGGGUAAAGGCCUACCAAGGCGACGAGCCGUAACUGGUCUGAGAGGAUGAUCAGUCAAUAUGGAACUGAGAAACGGUGCAGACUCCUACGGGAGGCAGCAGUGGGGAAGAUUGGACAAUGGGCGAACGCCUGAUCCAGCAAUGCCGCGUGGGUGAAGAAGGUCUUCGGAUUGUAAAGCACUUUAAGUUGGGAGGCGUUACCAACAGAUUAAGCACCGGCUAACUUCGUGCCAGCAGCCGCGGUAAUAC
rnacentral:rRNA from 1 species